rnacentral:rRNA from 1 species
UACGUAGGGUGCAAGCGUUGUCCGGAAUUAUUGGGCGUAAAGAGCUCGUAGGCGGUCUGUCGCGUCUGCUGUGAAAACUCAGGGCUUAACCCUGAGCUUGCAGUGGGUACGGGCAGACUAGAGUGCAGUAGGGGAGACUGGAAUUCCUGGUGUAGCGGUGAAAUGCGCAGAUAUCAGGAGGAACACCGGUGGCGAAGGCGGGUCUCUGGGCUGUAACUGACGCUGAGGAGCGAAAGCGUGGGGAGCGAACAGG